AAAUUGUGGUGUGGGCAUUUUUGAAUCUGUAUCUUAAAAUGCUUCUAUGCUUCAUGAAAGCUUCCCCCUCUCAUUGUUUGAACAUAUAAAUUUCUCUUCUUAGCU
rfam:Gossypium arboreum cultivar AKA8401 contig_12998_5, whole genome shotgun sequence.